AGGUUAUAAACAUCCCGUGUAUUCACUUGUUAUAAAAAAUACAGUUAUAAUUACAAGUGGAAAACUUAUUGGUUUCUUGUAUAUUAGAUAACACAAUUAAAGGUCGAAUUGAUCAGGUCAACCAAGUCCUAGAGUUGGAUAACAAAGCCCAGGGAGCAGCAAGGUAUAGUGCCUUGGAUAAAUGGACUGUCCAGUUGGCAACAUUACAUCAAACUAUCAUCAAUAAAAUGGCAUAGAUAGUGUUCACUCCAAGCUAAAACACAUAUUUGUGACCAAACCUGCUUGAAGGAAACCAUACAAGUCUGUGAUCAGUCAUUAUGGCUAGAACUAAGGCCCCAGCAUGCUAGAAAAUACCUUGUACAAUCUCGUGCAGUCAUCAGCGUAAAACAAGGUAGAUAUUACCUGGAGGUGAGUCCUAUCCGAAGAAUUUCUCGGUCCAUUUUAUCUCUCUUGCACUAAAUAAAGCUUUUGUACAAAGUGGUGUUCCUGUUAACCCUACAUUUCUGACCCGCAGCAAGUGAUCCUUUGUAUCUAUCUAUUUGAGUUUUUUUCCUCCCUAAUGUUUAACACGUGCAAGCUAAUGUGUGAAGGAAAUUCAAAACCAAACUCUCUUCUCUGUUUUAAAAUUAAGUAUGAUUUGUUUAUCUUUCUGAGAAACAGACUCUUAGCAUCUGCUUACAUUCUUGUGAAAUAAUAGAAUAUAGUUCAGAAAGCUUCAGAUGUGACUUGAUGAAUGAAACUUGUAUGAUGCUUCAUUUUUAUUGUGUAGGAAUAUUGUAACUUUUAAGAGAUAAAUAAGCUUAUAUAUAUGUCACACUUGAACAAGAAUUAUUUUUGUUUCUUGCACAUUAUUAAACUUAGUCAAAAUUAUCAAUUAGUUAAAAAUAUUUGACAGUUUGUUAGUGAAGCUUCGAGCAGAGUUUUUCAGAUUUAAAAAUGUUAGUGUAAAGAAGUAGAUAGAAAGUUAAUAAAACAGGAAAGUUUGUUCGUGUAUAGACUUUGGUUUGUGUCGUUUCGCAUUGGUAAUUUCUUGUUUAAUUCUUUACAAUAAAGAUGUCAUAUAAUCAUAAAUUAUUUGUUGUAAAUGGUUAAAUAAGAACUGUUUGAAUACUACAGUAUUAUUUUCCAAUGUUUAA